GAUGAACGCUGGCGGCGUGCCUAAUACAUGCAAGUCGAGCGAACAGACGAGGAGCUUGCUCCUCUGACGUUAGCGGCGGACGGGUGAGUAACACGUGGAUAACCUACCUAUAAGACUGAGAUAACUUCGGGAAACCGGAGCUAAUACCGGAUAAUAUAUUGAACCGCAUGGUUCAAUAGUGAAAGACGGUUUUGCUGUCACUUAUAGAUGGAUCCGCGCCGCAUUAGCUAGUUGGUAAGGUAACGGCUUACCAAGGCAACGAUGCGUAGCCGACCUGAGAGGGGGAUCGGCCACUCUGGAACUGAGACACGGUCCAGACUCCUACGGGAGGCAGCAGUAGGGAAUCUUCCGCAAUGGGCGAAAGCCUGACGGAGCAACGCAGCGUGAGUGAUGAAGGUCUUCGGAUCGUAAAACUCUGUUAUUAGGGAAAAACAAAUGUGUAAGUAACUAUGCACGUCUUGACGGUACCUAAUCAGAAAGCCACGGCUAACUACGUG
rnacentral:rRNA from 1 species